rnacentral:rRNA from 1 species
GGCCGCAGUGUGAUAGGGGGAUCCCAAGUGCUUAUGCUUUGCAUAGGCUUUUGCCAAAGCUAAAUCCUUUGGCGAAUAAGUGGUGGGUAAGACUGGUGCCAGCCGCCGCGGUAACACCAGCGCCACGAGUGGCAAUCGCGAUUAUUGGGCCUAAAGCGUCCGUAGCCGGUUUAGCAAAUCUUUUGUGAAAUCGUUGGGCUUAACUCAACGGCUUGCAGAAGACACUACUAAACUAGGGACCGGGAGGAGUCAGAAGUAUUCUGGGGGGACCGGUAAAAUGGUAUAAUCCUCAAAGGACUACCGAUGGCGAAGGCAUCUGACUAGAACGGAUCCGACGGUGAGGGACGAAAGCCAGGGGAGCGAACCGGAUUAGAUACCCGAGUAGUCCUGGCCGUAAACGCUGCGAGUUAGGUGUUGCGUAAACUACGGGUUUGCGCAGUGUCGAAACGAAGGUGAUAAACUCGCCGCCUGGGAAGUACGGGCCGCAGUGGGCCGCAGUGGGCCGCAGUGGGCCGCAGUGCA